GAUGCGUCUCUGCUGAUCUGAGCCUGUCCUGCAGCAUGGACCUGCAACUUUCCUGAAGCAUCUCCAGGGCUGGAUGCCAUGCAACAAAACCGUACAAAAAAACACCUGGACAUUUCACAUCAGUGGAUAAAGCAUAUCUUGUGCCAAAUCAGGACCAAACUGCGGUGAAAUUUCGGGUUCACACUACAGUUAAUCGCCUUUGAGGAAAGCAUUCCAGGUUGGUGCCUAUCUCUGCGAUAAACGUCUCCCUUCCUGGCUACAGGUAAUGGAUUAAAGCGACACUGGCCGAACAGACACUGUCUUCACCCGAUGAUUAUACUGAAAAAUGGCCAUAAAAUUGUUCCCUCCAAAUCCAAUUCCCUUUGUGACAACUCUCAAAAGAAGAUAUACGAACGGUCCACAAACAUAUGAAAAACAUGUAUGUGUAUGUGUGUAUAUACACACACACAGCACGGAAUACUACUCAGCCACAAAAAGGGACAAAAUAAUGGCAUUCGCAGCAACCUAGAUGCAGUUGGAGACCAUUAUUCCAAGUGAAGUAAUUCAGAAAUGGAAAACCAAACAUCAUAUGGUCUCAUAAGUGGGAGCUAAACUAUGAGGAUGCAAAGGCAUAAGAAGGAUAUAAUGGAAUCUGGGGACUCACAGGGAACAAUGGGAGGGGGAUGAGCGAUAAAAGACUACACAUUGGGUGCAGUGUACACUGCUCGGGUGAUGAAUGCACCAAAAUCUCAAAAAUCACCACUAAAGAGCUUAUCCACGUAACCAAACACCACCUGUUCCCCAAAAGCUAUUGAAUUUUUUUUAAAAAAAUAAUAAAUUAAAAUAAAUGUACUACAUUAAAAACAACAACAAAAUGGCAAAAAUCCAAUUGCACAUAGCAAAAUGUUUUCGUGGUCUCUGCACGCUAGAGCAUGUAAUUGGUCUUUGUUCCUUUCUACUGUUGAAGAAUAUUCCAUUCUAUGCCUAUAUCACAUUUGGUUUAUGCAUUCACCAAUUGAUGGACAUUUGGGUUGUUUUCACUAUUUAGCUAUCAUGAAUAAUGACAAAAAAAGGACAUAUAUUUGUUUGGGUUUUUUUAUUUUUAAAAGGUUACAAUUAUUU
rnacentral:lncRNA from 1 species